rnacentral:rRNA from 1 species
GAUGAACGCUGGCGGCGUGCCUAAUACAUGCAAGUCGAGCGAACAGAUAAGGAGCUUGCUCCUUUGACGUUAGCGGCGGACGGGUGAGUAACACGUGGAUAACCUACCUAUAAGACUGGGAUAACUUCGGGAAACCGGAGCUAAUACCGGAUAACAUAUUGAACCGCAUGGUUCAAUAGUGAAAGGCGGCUUUGCUGUCACUUAUAGAUGGAUCCGCGCCGUAUUAGCUAGUUGGUAAGGUAACGGCUUACCAAGGCAACGAUACGUAGCCGACCUGAGAGGGUGAUCGGCCACACUGGAACUGAGAAACGGUCCAGACUCCUACGGGAGGCAGCAGUAGGGAAUCUUCCGCAAUGGGCGAAAGCCUGACGGAGCAACGCCGCGUGAGUGAUGAAGGUCUUCGGAUCGUAAAACUCUGUUAUCAGGGAAGAACAAAUGUGUAAGUAACUGUGCACAUCUUGACGGUACCUGAUCAGAAGGCCACGGCUAACUACGUG